GAAAAAAGUGAUAUUCCCUGGGGAUGGACUUUCCCAGCCUCCUCCAGAGUAUUCCAGGUUUGUGAAUCAAUGGAGGGGGUGGGUGGAGGUGGGAGGGGCUGCCCAGGCAAGGCUUUCCCUUUACCCACAGAGCCUGUGAUUAAGAAGGCAUCCAUCUGUCAACAGUGGCUCUCAGCUGUAUUUCCAGCCCAGCUUCCUCCCAACUGACUCAUUCAGUGAUGCCACAAUCUAAUGUUUAUGACCUAACAGAUGAUCACCAUGGAAGUAGCACAAACCUUAGACUGUUGAGGAGCAAAACCAGCAUAGAGGAGCUGGACAGUUUAGGAAAAGAAAAAAUGAAGACCCUUAUUCAUAGAGACCACAUGUUAAGACUGAACAUCCCAUUUCUUAUGUGGGCACUUCCACCAGUUACUAAAAUUGAUAUUUGGAUGCCUUCGUGCCUGUUGGAGAACCCAAAUAAGGAUUUAAGGGCUUCUGCUGUUCGAAUCUCACCUCUACUCAAGAACAGUUUGUCUCUUCAACAUCAGCAACAGCACAGACGCAAUCACUUUUUCUGGGAGACAGGGCAUGAGAUAGGCAGUAGCAUGAGCAGUGGUUAGGGUUAUAGGUCAUGCUGUGCAGUGCUGAGGACUGGAUCCACAGCAUCACAGUUUGGCUGCCCAAUGUCCAGUGCCUGUUUCCAAGAUACAGGUGUUAUCCAGCUUUCUAGUUAUUUAUGCUAGAAGGGUAAGUCUGCUACCAGGUACUUUUUUAUGGAUGGAAGUAGAAGUCUCCAGUCAUAAGUUAUGAUCUAAUGACAUUAAAACCAAGAUAAAGACAAUCUAUAUGCUUAUUAAAUACAUUUUCUGUUUUCCUAGACUUCACUUCCCAUGCUAGAUACAAACAGUAAGAACUUAGUUCUGGGGUAAAAAUUGUCUUAAUCUUAUCAUGAGUCAUGAUCAAGAGGAACACUUUUUUGUUCCUGGAUAUUGUCUUGAAGAUGUGAAAUCUGGAAUUGCUCAAGUCAGCUUGCAACUAAUCUACAGAAGGGGUACAUAUGCCAAGGAUGGG
rnacentral:lncRNA from 13 species